rnacentral:rRNA from 1 species
AGUGAACGCUGGCGGUAGGCCUAACACAUGCAAGUCGAACGGCAGCACAGGAGAGCUUGCUCUCUGGGUGGCGAGUGGCGGACGGGUGAGGAAUACAUCGGAAUCUACUUUUUCGUGGGGGAUAACGUAGGGAAACUUACGCUAAUACCGCAUACGACCUACGGGUGAAAGCAGGGGACCUUCGGGCCUUGCGCGAUUGAAUGAGCCGAUGUCGGAUUAGCUAGUUGGCGGGGUAAAGGCCCACCAAGGCGACGAUCCGUAGCUGGUCUGAGAGGAUGAUCUGCCACACGGGAAAGGAGACACGGUACCGACUCCUACGGGAGGCAGAAGUGGGUAAUAUUGGACAAUGGGCGAAAGCCUGAUCCAGCCAUACCGAGUAGGUGAAGAAGGCCUUCGGGUUGUAAAGCCCUUUUGUUGGGAAAGAAAUCCAGCUGGCUAAUACCCGGUUGGGAUGACGGUACCCAAAGAAUAAGCACCGGCUAACUUCGUGCCAGCAGCCGCCGUAA